AACGCGAAGAACCUUACCUGGGCUCGAAAUGUGCAGGAAGACAGUAGAGAUAUUGUCGCCUUCGGGUCUGCAUAUAGGUGCUGCAUGGCUGUCGUCAGCUCGUGUCGUGAGAUGUUGGGUUAAGUCCCGCAACGAGCGCAACCCUUGCCUUUAGUUGCCAGCAUUUAGUUGGGCACUCUAAAGGGACUGCCGACGUUAAGUCGGAGGAAGGUGGGGAUGACGUCAAGUCCUCAUGGCCCUUAUGUCCAGGGCUACACACGUGCUACAAUGGCCGAUACAAAGGGCUGCAAAAUCGCAAGAUCAAGCUAAUCCCAUAAAAUCGGUCUAAGUUCGGAUUGAGGUCUGCAACUCGACCUCAUGAAGUUGGAAUCGCUAGUAAUCGUGGAUCAGCAUGCCACGGUGAAUACGUUCCCGGGCCUUGUACACACCGUAGAGAC
rnacentral:rRNA from 1 species